rnacentral:rRNA from 1 species
GAUGAACGCUGACAGAAUGCUUAACACAUGCAAGUCGAUGGGGAAGUGGUGCUUGCACCAUGGUAACCAUGGCGGACGGGUGAGUAACGCGUAAGGAACUUACCUGCGGGACCGGGAUAACAGCAGGAAACUGCUGACAAGACCGGAUAAGGUCAUUAAGCUGCAUAGCUUAGUGAUGAAAGGAGACGCCUGCGGAGAGCCUUGCGUCCUAUUAGCUAGUUGGAGGGGUAACGGCCCACCAAGGCGAAGAUAGGUAGCCGGCCUGAGAGGGUGGACGGCCACAAGGGGACUGAGAUACGGCCCUUACUCCUACGGGAGGCAGCAGUGGAGAAUAUUGGACAAUGGGGGCAACCCUGAUCCAGCAAUUCUGUGUGCACGAAGACGGUUUUCGGAUUGUAAAGUGCUUUCAGCAGGGAAGAAGGAAGUGACGGUACCUGCAGAAGAAGCGACGGCUAAAUACGUG